rfam:Brachypodium distachyon strain Bd21 chromosome 5, whole genome shotgun sequence.
AACAUACUCUCUCCGUUUUAUAAUUCUUGUCAAAAUCUUACAUGUAUCUAGACACAUUUUAGGAAUAGAUACAUUCAUUUUUGAGCAAAUUUGAGACGAGAAUUAUGAAACGGAGGGAGUACAUG